GACGAACGCUGGCGGCGUGCCUAACACAUGCAAGUCGAGCGGGGUUGAAGCGAGGGGUAACUCGAGUUUCUACCUAGCGGCGGACGGGUGAGUAACGCGUGGGCAACCUGCCUCAAGGACUGGGAUAACAGCUCGAAAGGGCUGCUAAUACCGGAUAAGCCUAUGGCCUCGCAUGGGGCCAUGAGCAAAGGGGAAACCUGCCUUGAGAUGGGCCCGCGUCCCAUCAGCUAGUUGGUGAGGUGAAGGCUCACCAAGGCGACGACGGGUAGCCGGCCUGAGAGGGUGACCGGCCACACUGGGACUGAGACACGGCCCAGACUCCUACGGGGGCAGCAGUGGGGAAUCUUGCACAAUGGGCGAAAGCCUGAUGCAGCGACGCCGCGUGAGCGAAGAAGGCCUUGGUUGUAAAGCUCUGUCUGGAGGGACGAAGGAAGUGACGGUACCUCCGGAGGAAGCCACGGCUAACUACGUG
rnacentral:rRNA from 1 species